ensembl:lncRNA novel transcript
GAUGAAUGAUAAGUAUCUUCCCAAGCUAAGAAACUAGGGGCUGCACGAAGGAAACAAAACAAGGGAAUCAAAGAAAAGGGUUUUGCAUCAAAACAGAUGCAGCAAGAAAAGCCGCAUCUCAAUGCCGUUGUGACUUUAUGAAGGUGGACAAUCCUGGUUGAGCAGAGAUAUUGCAGAUGUCUCCCCUGUCAUGGAGGAUAACCUGCCUUCCCAGCUUGUCUUACAGAUGCUGAAGAAGCUCCCAAAAUAUAGUUGGGAUUUUAGUAACAAAUAUCCUAUGAGUUGCUGAAUUGAAUUCAGUAAUCUCAGAAAACCCAGCCUGGCCCUCCAAACUCAAGCCUCUCCACUGGGUCUCACACCUUGACAGUAUGCUCCAUCGCACCGCCAUUUCUACACCCCACGCCUGGGCCUGGCUGAAACUUCAAGGCUCCCCUUGGAAGGCAGCCCAUCUUUGAGGUCAGAAGAAAACACUGUCAUUCUGAAAGUUGGCCACUCACCUUCGAAAUAUCCCAUCCCUAUGGUUUUUUUGUUGUUGUUUGUUUUGUUUAAAGGCAACAAAACGGCUAGUCUGUGACCCAUACCAGAGGUGUUAAAACAGAAGGAUUAACUCUAGACUUGGCCCCAAGUGCUGGCAGAUGUUUUUGAGAACGGAGUUGGGGAUGUUUGAGAACACUGAGAACUCACGCUUGUAACGUGCAGAUGUGGCGAACCUGGAGUGAGUUCAGAGAAGUGACAAAGAUGAUGAAAGGGCUAAAGAAUGGUUUCUGAGGGAAGGCUGAAGGGAUUCUUUUUGCCUUUAUCCCAAGAAAUGAGAAAAUAAUGAUUAUUAACUUCAAAGCCAGUUUGCUCUUCAUGUCUGCAACAAACCCAAUGAAUGGAAAUAGGCUCGAAUUAAAAGCAGGAGAGAAUUGGGUGAGGUAAAAGGAAGACUUUCUUGUGCUUCAGAGGAAGAAAUAUGGCAAUCUGAGGUCAUGGAGUACAGAUGUGUAUACAGAUUUUAAUAGAGGGAUAGACCACACAUUUUUUAUAAUUAAACUUGACUUCUCAUUUUUUAA